AUUACUAGUGAAAAAACUUCUAACCUGGAGUUCCCAGUCCAUCUCAGCCAGAGCUACUGUAUUUCUCUACCUUAAGAAGAUCUCAGUUAAGGAGCUUGCUUACUUUUUGAAGACAGUUGAGAGCCCUAUCCAACUGUAUAUAAAAUACCUAACCCAAAUUUAUUAUAUCCUCUCAAAACAUAUCCAUACGGAGUGUUAUUUGGAGUUACUUACUGGUUUUGAAUAUAGAGCUUUAAGAAGAAUAUAGUAAAAGUAAGCUUGAAUGCUACCACGUUGUUUUAGCAGACUGUAGAAGAAUCAGUAACUGCUUACCAGCCCUGUAGAUAACCCUGAAACUCCUUAAUUUCCUUUCAUUCUGAGCACUUAAGCCAGUCUUAAAUCUUCUCCAUCCUCUUGCCACUCAUUGUAUUCUGAAGACGUGAAUUUCAUAGACAUUUUAAAGUCUCUUAAAUCCUACAUAAUGAAAACCACAAAUAAACUCUGUAAUGCUGAAAGGCAUUAAAAAGACUCACAAGCAACUAUGUAUGCUACAAACAUCAUACCAGUCCUGUGCUGUGUGCAACUGUUACUAGACUAUACUUCUAUGGGAUCUGUUUUGGUUUUGACUUAAAGCGUACAAAAAACUUAGUGAUAUACGUUGUUAGUUUCACUGAGGUCAGUAAGGGUAUUUAAUUUUACAGAAUCUGAGGACCUGACCCAGGAUUAUCACAGUCCAUUACCAUUAUGUUUGCUAAAAUACAUAAUAUUUAUCUAUUUAUCUUAUGUUGGAGAUGGGUUCUGUCAUUCUCCAUUGCAGCUGGGGUCCAGGGCUCUUGAGGGCUGUUUCAUUUCUGAGAAGAUCCCAUCUAUCUCUCUCUUGUUUCCUCUAAUAUCGCAUAGCCUGCUGAUUUUUCUCUGGUACCUCUGCCACUUGAUGACACAGCUCUUCAGCAUCAGCACCCAUCCUGCAGGAAAGAAGACCACCUUUUCCCAGCCUCGAUGCAUACCCUGCAGCCUGGGUUUCCAGGGCUGCAUUCACUGUCUGAAGCUCUGUCUGGGUUGAAGGCUCUACAGGAGCAGGGACAGCUGUUCUGACAGCUAAUGGGGAAUGUGUUGCUUGUAUCUGCUGGGUUCUGAAAGGUGUCUCCAUGGCAAUUAGUAAUGACAGCUGAAUUAAAAAUGACAGCCCAAAUGAGAGCAGACAAAAUUGAGAUGAGUGGGGGUAAUGCACCAGAGCGUUGUGCUGCCAUCCAGAAAGACAUCGCUGGAGAAAUGGACUGAUAGGAACCUCAUAAAGCUCAGCAAGGAGAAGUGCAAAGUCCUGCCCAUGGGGUGGAACAACCUUAGGCACCAAUACAUGUUAGGAGCCACCUGACUGGAAAGCAACUUGGCAGAAAAGGACAGUAUGGUCCUGGUGGACACCAAGUUGAAUGUAAGCUAGCAAUGUACGCUUGCCACAAAUACAACCGGUGGUAUCCUGAGUUACAUUAGGAGUGUUACCAUCAGGUUGGGAAAGGUAAUCCUUCCAUAGAUAGGAUAAUUCUUCUGUUCCUCCUCUGGUGAGGCCACAUGUGGAGUGCUUUGUCUUAGGCUCUUCAGGACAAGAGAGACAGAUCGGAGAGAGUCCAACAAAGGACCACUAAGAUGAUUAGGGAACUGGAGAACUUUUCCUGUGAGGAAAGGCUGCGAGAGCUGGGAUGGCUUAGCCUACAGCAGAGAAGACUCAGAGGGUACCUCAUCAAUGCGUACAAAUACCUAAUGGGAAGAUGUAAAGAGGACAGAGCCAAACUCUUUUCAGUUCUGCUGCCUAGGGACAAGACGAGGCAAUUGGGCACAAACUGAAAUGAGGAGGGUGCUAUCUGGCUAUCAGGAAAGAUUUUGUUGUUGUUUUUACUCUGACAGUGACUGAGCACUUGAACGCAUCACAUAGAAGGGUAGUCUCCCUUCUUGAAGAUGCUCAGAAUCUGUUUGAUAAUGUCUUGGGCAAGGAGAUCUAUAUGGCCAUACUUGAGCAGGGGUUGGGACUAGAUGACCUCCAGAGAUCACCUCAACCUCCAACCAUUCUGUGGUUCUGUGAAACAGCGAUAGAAAUUAUCACCUGUCCACCCUGUUUGAACUUUUGAAAGUUCUUUUGGGUAUUGCAAACUUCCUUUGAUCGCCUGUAGUAGGUUUUCCUGCCUACUAGCUCUGCUUGCCCCACAUCUCAGAAUGUACUAGGAAUUUUUCACAUGUCAAAAUGGAAUGGAAAUUAAAUAAGCAAUUCAUUGAAUUAGACAAGCCAUUUUUUCCCUUGGCGAGUAGCAAUACAAACUCAUUUAUGUCAGUAGUUCUAGGUCAAUUUAUCAACAACCGGUAACAAAGGAUGUAUCUCAUUACACAACUAUAGCUCAGCUCACACAAACAACACCUGAAACCAAGUGAGAUGGGAAAUAUCAGGACCCAGAGUAGUUUAUAUAAUUUGGCCUAAUUUAUUCCACCUUUGUCAGAAUUUGUAUAGCAGUUCAUGUUCACUAUGAAAAGAACAAUUCAAAGAAUCAGGUUGAAGUAGUGCUUUAUCAUUUCUUUCUGGAAAGUCAUUGUCAGACAGCAUAUCUAUAUUAAUAUGAGUCUGCAACUUUUUUUUCUCCCCUAAUUUUGGCAAAGAGUCCAAGGCAUGGAGAAAAAAAAAGCUGCAGAAACUGUGUUAUAGUCAGGGCUGAUUUCUUAGCCUACUGUAAAUCAUUUUCUUCUGGUUCUGCAGCUACUAGUGUAUUUCUUGCUGUAAGGAGUGUAUUUCAUGAGCAGAAUGAGUUGAAUCCAUGGUGUGCCAGAUUAAUUUUGUUUGCUUCUUUUGACAAAAGACAAUUCUGAUUACUUCUCAGGCUGAUGUAUGUUCUUAUAUGUUAAAAUUCUUAAGCAGCCCAAAAAGUCACAGCUUGCAGUCUGGGCGUAUGAAGGUUGAGCAGAAAGAGAAAACUUGCAUGAAGGCCAUAAUUUUUUUUCAGGUAAUGUACAAAAGAACCCCCUUAUUGAAAGAUAGUUCACAUUAGAACUGAGGUUGAGAACAUGUCUUCAUGGAGAUCUCAAGUUCAUGUUGCAUUUUUCUUUUGUUAAAGUUACAGCAGAAAAUGUGAGGUUAAGUUUGGUUUCAGCUCACGUCCUUGUGGUUUUUGAAUUCUUAACAGCUUUUUUGUUGUUCUGUUCUGUGAAACAUAUGUGACUCUGUUCCUGUUUUGUUUUCUACAUAUUUUCACUUAGUUACAGAUAGUAAUCUGAUGAUUUGAUUUUUGCUUUUUCUUUAAGAAUCUAUCAUCAGCCUUUAAUACUGUUGAACAGAAGGCUUUUAUGUACUUCAUGCCCAUGAAAAAGACAGUAAACUGUUGAUUAUGAAUGUUCCAUAGUAUGUAUUUUCUUACCACACAGUGUCAGAGGCCAUGUGCGUGGUUUUUCUGCUCAGUCUGUGAAGGCAUUCACAAUUGUUUCACUCAGAUGUAAGGACCCAUCUCAGUUCUGCCUCUGUGCCAGUCUGUAAAAUGUGGAUCAGUGCAAAGUAUUCUGUUGUCUUGUCCACAAAAUAUUUCUCAAGCCCAUGUUCUCUAACAGUUGCAUCACCUUCGUUGCUGGUGUUACUGAGAGCUGUAGGAUGCACAAGGCUUCCAUCAGUGCAGGCAGUUUGCCACCGUUUUCUGAAGUUGAUUGUGCUGUCCCUGACUGUUUGCUGAACACGUCUCUUAGAUCAGUCGCGGAUUUUUCUGCAUUCAAUGAUUGUGUCUCAAGUAGAACAAAUCUCUAAUAGGGUAAUGUUAAGUUUGGGGGAUACUUCUCAUCUUCAAUGCAAAACAUCUUGGUACAAAAAUUGAUCAAGUGGCCAUAUGUUCAAAAGAUAUAUACAGACUGGAAUUGGGAAUGUUUCUGGGUUUUGAAUGGAAAAUUGUUUGUUUAGAGGGGAAAAGAAGUACUUCGUACUAUAAUAAAAUGCAGGAAACUUCAACACAAAUUCCACUCAUAGUUUUAAAGAAGGAUCAAGUCUGUAUGGAAAAGGCUUGUUUCAAAAAGCAAAGUAGUAAGACAUGACACGGGGUGUGGGCGGGAAAGCAUUUAGGGGCUUUUGAAUUAAUGUUUCCAGUGUCAUAAUGUCGUUUAGUGACUUGGGAUAGCAUGGUAUUUGUAGUUAACUUCCUUAACCUCAAUGAGGGUGAAAUACUUGGAAAGAAGGAUGGAUUGGUGGUUUAAAUGUGAAAUUGGAAAAAAGGAGAUCUAUUUCUGGUUUGAUGGCGGAUAAUUUGAUUUGUGGGAAACAUCACUUUCUAUUCCUUAAUGUCUGCUUAUGUAAACUGGAGAUUCACAAAGAGUGUUGCCUGAUUCAUCUGAAUAGAGGACUUUAUUAAUAAUUGUAAUAUAUUUUAAGACCCAAAGGAGGAAAUUAAAAAAGGGGAUUUUGCUAGAGAUAACUAAUGCCAAGAAAAGUUACUUGGCAGUAGAUUGGCCUAUGGUGGUAUCUGUUACUAUCGUGAUUAUGUUUAAUUCACAGCUACUUGUAAUAAAUGAAGAUAAAAUUUGAAGCUGA